GAUGAACGCUGGCGGCGUGCCUAAUACAUGCAAGUCGAGCGAAUGGAUUAAGAGCUUGCUCUUAUGAAGUUAGCGGCGGACGGGUGAGUAACACGUGGGUAACCUGCCCAUAAGACUGGGAUAACUCCGGGGAACCGGGGCUAAUACCGGAUAACAUUUUGAACCGCAUGGUUCGAAAUUGAAAGGCGGCUUCGCCUGUCACUUAUGGAUGGACCCGCGUCGCAUUAGCUAGUUGGUGAGUUAACGGCUCACCAAGGCAACGAUGCGUAGCCGGCCUGAGAGGGUGAUCAGCAACACUGGGACUGAGACACGGCCCAGACGCCUACGGGAGGCAGCAGUAGGGAAUCGUCCGCAAUGGACGAAAGUCUGACGGAGCAACGCCGCGUGAGUGAUGAAGGCUUUCGGGUCGUAAAACUCUGUUGUUAGGGAAGAACAAGUGCUAGUUGAAUAAGCUGACACCUUGACGGUACCUAACCAGAAAGCCACGGCUAACUACGUGCCAGCCGCCGCCGUAA
rnacentral:rRNA from 1 species